rnacentral:misc_RNA from 1 species
GAAAUGCGAUAAGUAAUGUGAAUUGCAGAAUUCAGUGAAUCAUCGAAUCUUUGAACGCACAUUGCGCCCCCUGGCAUUCCGGGGGGCAUGCCUGUUCGAGCGUCAUUUCAACCCUCAAGCGCUGCUUGGUGUUGGGCCCCUUGCCAGCGAUGGCAGGCCCUAAAGUCAGUGGCGGUGCCGCUGGGCCCUGAGCGUAGUAUACCCCUCGCUACUGGGCUUCGGCGUGCUGGCUGUCCAUAACCCCCCAAUUUUCCAUGGUUGACCUCGGAUCAGGUAGGAGUACCCGCUGAACUUAA